UACGUAGGGUGCGAGCGUUGUCCGGAAUUAUUGGGCGUAAAGGGCUCGUAGGCGGUCUGUCACGUCGGGAGUGAAAACUCAGGGCUUAACCCUGAGCCUGCUUCCGAUACGGGCAGACUAGAGGUAUGCAGGGGAGAACGGAAUUCCUGGUGUAGCGGUGAAAUGCGCAGAUAUCAGGAGGAACACCGAUGGCGAAGGCAGCUCGCUGGGACGGUACUGACGCUGAGGCGCGAAAGCGUGGGGAGCAAACAGG
rnacentral:rRNA from 1 species